rnacentral:rRNA from 1 species
UAGGGAAUCUUCCACAAUGGACGAAAGUCUGAUGGAGCAACGCCGCGUGAGUGAAGAAGGGUUUCGGCUCGUAAAACUCUGUUGUUAAAGAAGAACAUAUCUGAGAGUAACUGUUCAGGUAUUGACGGUAUUUAACCAGAAAGCCACGGCUAACUGCCUGCCAC